rnacentral:rRNA from 1 species
AACGGUCAGAGCCCAGCAAUGGGUGAUGGCGUGCCUUUUGUAGAAUGAGCCUGCGAGUUAACGUACAUUGCGAGGUUAAAUGACUGGAGUCAUGGAGCCGGAGUGAAAGCGAGCCUGAACAGGGCGGCAAGUAGUGUGCGUUAGACCCGAAGCCGAGGGAUCUAUCCAUGUCCAGGCUGAAGUCCGGGUGAAACCGGAUGGAGGGCCGAACCCUAGCCCGUUUAAAAGGACAGGGAUGAGGUGUGGAUGGGGGUGAAAGGCCAAUCAAACUCGGAAAUAGCUGGUUCUCCGCGAAAACUAUUUAGGUAGUGCGUCAGAUGAGAUGCCUUCAGGGGUAGAGCACUGGAUGGGCUAGGGGGAAGCGAUUCUUGCCAACCCCAACCAAACUCCGAAUACUGAAGAGCAGUCACUGGCAGACAGACGGUAGGUGCUAAGGUCUAUCGUCGAGAGGGAAAUAGCCCAGACCGCCAAUUAAGGUCCCCAAGUUAUGGCUAAGUGGGAAAGGAUGUGGGACGACCAAAACAGCCAGGAGGUUGGCUUAGAAGCAGCCAUCCUUUAAAGAAAGCGUAACAGCUCACUGGUCUAAGUAAGUUAUCCUGCGCCGAAGAUUUAACGGGGCUGAAGCCAUACACCGAAAUUGCGGAAUUCAGAGCAAUCUGAAUUGGUAGCGGAGCGUUCCGUAGGCCUGAGAAGGAACAUGGCGAUGUGUUCUGGAGGUAUCGGAAGUGCGAAUGCUGACAUAAGUAGCGACAAAGAGUGUAAGAAACACUCUCGCCGAAAGUCCAAGGGUUCCUGCGUAAAGUUAAUCUGCGCAGGGUGAGCCGGCCCCUAACACGAGGCAGAGAUGCGUAGUGGAUGGGAAUGAGGUUAAUAUUCCUCAGCUUGCUGGGAAUGACGACUUGACGGAGAUGUAAUUCCUUAUUGGAUUGGGGUUGCAUCGGGUCAGGUCCAGGAAAUAGGUCCAGCGUAUAAACCGUACCCUAAACCGACACAGGUGGACUGGUAGAGCAUACCAAGGCGCUUGAGAGAACUAUCUUGAAGGAACUAGGCAAAUUGCAUGUGUAACUUCGGGAAAAACAUGCCCUUAUGGCGGGCAACCGUUGUGAGGGGGCACUAACCAGGGGGUAGCGACUGUUUAACAAAAACACAGGGCACUGCGAAGUUUUAAGACGACGUAUAGUGUCUGACGCCUGCCCGGUGCCGGAAGGUUAAGAGGAGAAGUGAGAGCUUUGAAUUGAAGCCCCGGUAAACGGCGGCCGUAACUAUAACGGUCCUAAGGUAGCGAAAUUCCUUUUCGGGUAAGUUCCGACCUGCACGAAUGGCGUAAUGAUCCGGACGCUGUCUCGACCGCGAUCUCAGUGAAAUUGUAGUAUCGGUGAAGAUGCCGAUUACCCGCGAUGGGACGAAAAGACCCCGUGAACCUUUACUACAGCUUGGCACUGACCUUGAUCAUCGGAUGUGUAGGAUAGGCCGGA